UUUGCAAGGACACAGUGGGUGUGCCGAGACCAGCUCCAUACUGGGAUGACAAGGAGGGUUUGGCUUCCAAAACAACUGCUGCCAUUGAGGACUGCUGGAGAAGUGCUGUGGUCUUCUCAAGGCUGAGGACAGGAUGGUGCUGGUGAGGUGCUGGAAGAGGAGCUUGAAGAAACCUUGGCUUUGCCACAAGACCCUGCCCUUGACCACGUUUCACUUGUUCAUUGGCAUGAGACGGGAUGGAGGCUGCUGUCAGGUGGUACCAAGGGGCUUGUGUAACGUGCAAAGGCUUGGGAGGAGUCCCUACGUCCUGUAGCCCCCUGCGCUCCUAUCCGGACACUUUAAUGAGGUAUUUAAUUCUUUAAUGAAGUAUUU
rnacentral:lncRNA from 14 species